CAGAGAGUAGUUUAAUAAAAAUAUUAAUUUUGGAGAUUAAAGAUAGAAGUUUAAUUUUUUCUCUGA
rnacentral:tRNA from 1 species